rnacentral:rRNA from 1 species
CGUAGGUUUGACCUGCGGAGGGAUCAUUACCGAGUUUACAACUCCCAAACCCAAUGUGAACGUUACCAAACUGUUGCCUCGGCGGGAUCUCUGCCCCGGGUGCGUCGCAGCCCCGGACCAAGGCGCCCGCCGGAGGACCAACCAAAACUCUUAUUGUAUACCCCCUCGCGGGUUUUUUUAUAAUCUGAGCCUUCUCGGCGCCUCUCGUAGGCGUUUCGAAAAUGAAUCAAAACUUUCAACAACGGAUCUCUUGGUUCUGGCAUCGAUGAAGAACGCAGCGAAAUGCGAUAAGUAAUGUGAAUUGCAGAAUUCAGUGAAUCAUCGAAUCUUUGAACGCACAUUGCGCCCGCCAGUAUUCUGGCGGGCAUGCCUGUCCGAGCGUCAUUUCAACCCUCGAACCCCUCCGGGGGGUCGGCGUUGGGGAUCGGCCCUGCCUUGGCGGUGGCCGUCUCCGAAAUACAGUGGCGGUCUCGCCGCAGCCUCUCCUGCGCAGUAGUUUGCACACUCGCAUCGGGAGCGCGGCGCGUCCACAGCCGUUAAACACCCAACUUCUGAAAUGUUGACCUCGGAUCAGGUAGGAAUACCCGCUGAACUUAAGCAUAUCAAU